UCGGGAAUUUUGCGCAAUGGAGGAAACUCUGACGCAGUGACGCCGCGUAUAGGAAGAAGGUUUUCGGAUUGUAAACUAUUGUCGUUAGGGAAGAAAUUUGACAGUACCUAAGGAGGAAGCUCCGGCUAACUAUGUGCCAGCAGCCGCGGUAAUACAUAGGGAGCAAGCGUUAUCCGGAUUUAUUGGGUGUAAAGGGUGCGUAGACGGGAAUACAAGUUAGUUGUGAAAUCCCUCGGCUUAACUGAGGAACUGCAACUAAAACUAUAUUUCUUGAGUGUUGGAGAGGAAAGUGGAAUUCCUAGUGUAGCGGUGAAAUGCGUAGAUAUUAGGAGGAACACCAGUGGCGAAGGCGACUUUCUGGACAACAACUGACGUUGAGGCACGAAAGUGUGGGGAGCAAACAGG
rnacentral:rRNA from 1 species